ensembl:rRNA 5S_rRNA 5S ribosomal RNA
GCUUACGGCCAUACCACCCUGAGCGUGCCUGAUCUCGUCUGAUCUCGGAAGUUAAGCUGGGUCGGGCCUGGUUAGUACUUGGAUGGGAGACCGCCUGGGAAUACCAGGUGCUGUAAGCU